UUUUUUCCCCCUCCUUAACUCUGCUCUACCAGAAGCCCAACCAAUGUCACUCACUAGCUGAGCUCUGGCCAGUGGCAGGUCCCUUUGGAGUCAUCUGGAGCUGGCCCUUAAUCUAACAUGGGGCAGCUACUGGACUCUUCUCACAGAGAUCACCCCUGCAGCCCCUUGCUACCAAAACAUUGCCAUGGUAACCGAAUAGAGGCACAAACACCCCUUGUGACUUUGGACAAGCCAGUACAUAUGUUGUUCUUGGAUAUAUUGCUCUUUGCCAGUUAGUCAUCUGCUUUUACUUUAAAUGUCAAACUUCGGUGCUCCACAGGAUACAAAAUAAUCAUAGAAUUGCAGAUGCCACUGCUCUGUUCUACAUCUUAAUUCUACACUUAUGGAAGAUGAUGGAGAGAGUCCAAAAGAAGCAAAACAAUGCUAGUGCAUACCACUGUGACUCUACCAAAUCAGUGCAGAUGAAUUUUGUGAAGAAACAUCAACUCUCAGGAAGACUUAAAAAAUACAUAUAUUACCAGAGACUGAGCAAGUACUUGAGGUCAGAGUGUGAUAUCAUUUACACUAGCAUCAAUCUGGAUUACCCCCAUUGGUUCCACAGCAGUUGUCUUCAGUAGAGAUACUCUGGAUUUAGAACCAUGCAAGUAAAACAACCAUUUAACAUACUGGACACUGUGAAGUGAUAUGCAGAUAAAAGCAGUCAGAGUCAAACUCUGCCCCGGGUUAUAUCCGUGCAGCUCCUCUGAAGUCACUAAGUGCUUUCUUUGUCUCCCUAAUGCUUUGCAAUAUUUCUUGUCUCUUGUAUAAUACUUUUCUUUCCCUGACACAGACUCCUGCAGUUCUCUCCAAAAAAAUGGUGACGAACUAGCUGAGCAGUGACCUUUCAUAAUGAGAAAUACCACAACACUGUCUGUCUCACCAUAUUUUAACUGUUUCCUUUGCUGUACAACUGGCAACAAGGGGCUGCUUUUCACAUGUUUCGCAGUUCAGCAAUGGUAGCCUACAGCUUUUCAGCUAUUUUGACUGGUUUCAUAUUUGCAUUUGAAUGAGAAUCAGCCUGAUACUCUUUUUUCCAAACACAUAGGAAAAAAAAUGUGCCUUCUAUGUUACAUGCAUAAAAAGUGUGUGAAAUUAAUGGAGACUGUGCACAUAAUUGUGAAGAAAGAUGAAUUCUAAACCUAGUGAAAUUACAGUGGGAUGGCAUGGUAGGUUACCAAGGCUGUUGAACUGAAAUCUAUAUCUGUAUAAAUAGAAUAUAUAUAUAAGAGUAGCCGUCCUAUAACUGGUUUUUUUUUUUUUUUUUUUUUUUUUUUUUUUUUUUUUGAGAAAGAGAGAGAGAGAGAGGUACAGCAUCAGAGAAAAUCUGAUCAUCUCCUCUGUGCUACUUUUGUGGUUUUUGUGUUUCUGAAGGGAAGACAUUUCCUAUAGCUUGCCUAAAUACUGAGGACACUAAUGAAUUGCUUUAGAUAAGAGCAGUGUGUCCACCCAUUUUCAGCUUUUUGUCCUGGCAACUCUGCUUUUCUCUGUAGAUAAUGCUGCAGCAUUAUAACUCCAGACCAGCUAAACUGAGUGCUUAAGAGACCAUCUAUUUUAUAUGUUCCCCCAGAUUUUCUUAUCCUUCUUCACAUAGUAACAUAAUCAGAGUCUCGGGGGGUUUGACAUUGAGACAUACCAGAUUUUAAAAGUAUUCAAUCUUAAAAAUCUUAAAAAAAAAAAAAUAAAUAAAUCUUAGAAAUCUUUUAAUCUUUAAAA
rnacentral:lncRNA from 1 species